AGAUGCACCACAAAUGGGAUUCUGCCUCCUGGUCAUGAAUUAUCCCAUCUUUGCUAAUGCUCUGGUCUGUUUGCUUGCUUACAUAAAAUGCAGCCCAUCCACAUGUGUGGCCAGCUCAUUCAACAUACAGAUAUUAUGUGUUAGCUAGACUGAGAAAGUGAUGUAGAAAAGACCUAAUGGACAAAUGAAGAAUCCAUACAUAUAAGAAAAUAUUCAGAAGAAAAUGCAAAGCUUGUGGUAUGCUCAAUACCCCACCCCACCUAUUUUUGGGGACAUCCCACCAGAAUAUUGAGUUCCUGAAUUUUGUGGUACCAUAAUGGCAAUCUACAUCAAAAAUAAUUCUCCAAGGAAAAGUAUCUCAAGACGCCUGAAGGCAAAUUGUCAGGGUCAUUAAAAUGCUCUGGAACCUCA
rnacentral:lncRNA from 1 species